rnacentral:rRNA from 1 species
AUUGAACGCUGGCGGCAUGCCUUACACAUGCAAGUCGAACGGCAGCACGGGAGCAAUCCUGGUGGCGAGUGGCGAACGGGUGAGUAAUGUAUCGGAACGUACCUUUCAGUGGGGGAUAACGUAGCGAAAGUUACGCUAAUACCGCAUAUUCUGUGAGCAGGAAAGCAGGGGAUCGCAAGACCUUGCGCUGAUUGAGCGGCCGAUAUCAGAUUAGCUAGUUGGUGAGGUAAAGGCUCACCAAGGCGACGAUCUGUAGCGGGUCUGAGAGGAUGAUCCGCCACACUGGAACUGAGACACGGUCCAGACUCCUACGGGAGGCAGCAGUGGGGAAUUUUGGACAAUGGGCGCAAGCCUGAUCCAGCCAUGCCGCGUGAGUGAAGAAGGCCUCGG